rnacentral:rRNA from 1 species
UACGUAGGCAGCGAGCGUUGUUCGGAGUUACUGGGCGUAAAGGGCUCGUAGGCGGCCAACUAAGUCCGACGUGAAAUCCCAAGGCUUAACCUUGGAACUGCGUCGGAUACUGGAUGGCUUGAAUUCGGGAGAGGGAUGCAGAAUUCCAGGUGUAGCGGUGAAAUGCGUAGAUAUCUGGAGGAAUACCGGUGGCGAAGGCGGCAUCCUGGACCGACAUUGACGCUGAUGAGCGAAAGCUAGGGGAGCAAACGGG